CAGAAUAAUAGUUGAUCAAAGAGUAAGUAGCAUAGUUCUUGACUUAACUGUUCUAUCUUUCAACUACCCAAGACCUAAGUGAUAGCUAUAAGCUCCAUGGUUCAAGGUAAUAUGGGUGAGUCUUGAGUCAGGAUAGUUCACUCUAAACCAUAGGAGAGUCUUUGUUUGAACGCUUGUGUACUUAUGAGGCGUGAAAGUAUUGUAGCAACUCCUAAUCUAUCACUGAGUCUAUCUUUGCUCAGGGACGAGCAAAAGGUAAGCUUGGGGGAGUUUGUUGACAGUAGAUAAGUACUCUUUUUAACCGUCAACAUAGCAUGAGAAAGGAUUAAAAUGAGAAUACUAUCUAGCUAUAGGGGUUAUCACUAAUAGAAUUCUACAAUUUUUGGUGAUUGUCUACUUCUGUAGGGGGUUAUCGGAAUAAGAACCAAAGGUGGUCCACAUGUCAUAUUUACAUAGAGAGAACACGUGAAAUGUCAAAUUAGGAAUACUCCAGAAGGCUCGGGAAGACACCGCCUAAAAUGUGGGGCCCACCUGCCAUACGGCAGGGGCGGGCGCCGCACCCUCACAAGGGCGGCCGCCCGGGGGAAGAAGCUAAUCAACUUUGUAACACCCAAAAAUUUUGAUUUCAAUUAAUAGGAAUUAAUUUGAUUUAAUUAAGUAUUUUUGUGAGCAUUUAAAUUUAGCAUUUAAAUAAAUUUUUGUGGAAAUUAAAAUUUAUCAUAAGCUUAGUAAUAUGAUUUUGUGCAUUCAUGCUGAGACAUACUUUAUUAUGUGUUAAUUGCUUUUGGUCUGAAGUUAAUUGUAUUUAAAACUCCUUUUGGAAAAGGCUUUAGAAAAUAGAAAAGAGAAUAAAAAAGAAAAAAAACCCAGCCAAACCCCUUCCCAGCUUUCCCCGCGGCCCAAACCCCCCACCCCGGCCCAAGUCGCGAGCGGCCCAGCUCGCCAGGCAACGCGCGCCACCCCUCUCCUUCUCCUUUUCGCUGACGGCUGGGCCCCACCCCUUUCUUACACCGCCAGCCGGGCCCCGCGCGUCAGUCUCCCCCUCCCACCUUCCUUCUUCUUCCCCGCCGUGACGCAAGCAAGGGAAGCUUCCUACCCGAGUCAAACCCGAAACCCCGCGAUUCUUUGCCUUUUUCGUGGAAUCAAACCCCUAUAAAUGCCUCAAGCCUCGCCCGCACUCCGUUCCUUUCCAACCGCGACGCAACAACGAGCCCUAGCCGCCCCAGCCGCCGCAUUUUGGAUCCCACC
rnacentral:lncRNA from 1 species